UGUAGUGGCUUGCAUAGCUUAGUUGUGCUAGUGCUAGAAUAGCUUCGCCUUUUGUUUUACUAAUCAACUUGUCUAGUUGAAGUUUGUAGAAUUUUUAAAUAGGCUAUUCACCCCCCCUCUAGCCUUUUGGACCUUACACUCGGUCGCGGAAGCAGCUCAUCCCCAACAAGGCGCCGAUUUUUCGGCCGUUGCUGGAGUCGUCUUCGGCGGGGCUAUGGUGGUGACCGCUCGGUGGGUCUGGAUCCGGCUAGGUUCCGGCGACAGAUCGCGUUCUUGGAGCAGGACAAUACUUGGGAGUCUUGAUGUGUCCGUAGCUGCACUCGUGCAGGGAAAAGGAGGAAGCCAUGGUGAGGUGUGCUAGAAAUUCUACCGAUGGCAUGAUAAUUUUCAGUCUUGUUUCAGUCUUAGUGUUUCAAUCUUAACUAUCUUAGUGUUUCAGUCUUAGUGUUUCAGUUUUAGUUGUAUGAUGGCAUGAUAAUUUUGCUUGAAACCUGUCUUUUGCUUGUCGACUGAAACAAGCUGUGAACCUAUCAAAUGUUUGCAUGUCUCCUUGUGAACUUCAGUUAUAUAACAUAUGAUUUGCUUUGUUAGAUUUGUUUUGGAUCAUUUAGCAACACAAUGAUAUAUAUAAAUGAUUUUCAUAAUUGAUCAUGGCUACCUACAAGCAUUAAACGAUUUGUAGACAGCCAAAUAGACAGCAUCUGACUAUGGGUUGUACGAGCUGUCUAUUUAGCUGUCUGUAUUGUAAAUUUCAAAAACUUAUAGACAACCGCUGUCUCACUGUUGUAUAUGCCCUUACUAAUAGUUUCUUUUUGAUGUAUAGGGAAACACUCAAGAGGGAUCUGAUUGUUUCCUAUUUCAGACCCUAUGGGAUAUAACUCUUGCAUAGCUGAUCUAUUCUCUCAGGUACUACAUAUUAUGUAGAUUUAUUUAAUAAAUUUAUGCCCAGUGAAAUUAAACUCUUGCCUACCUGAUCCAACUUGAGUAUAUGUACUAAGAUUCGUGCCAUUUAUAGUGUUUGCAAAAGUAUCAGAUUGUCUAUACUAAGAUUGGUGCCAUUUGCAAUGAAAUACUAAAUAAAUUAUAUAUACUAGAUUCUUUUGGUUUAUAGAAAAUUGUUACUGCUAAUAUCAGGUUAAUUUUUUUCUGCUUUGGUUAAUGUCAAAAUGCUUCUUAGUUACUGUUUUAGCAGGCUGUACUUGAGGUACAAUUCUACUUUGGUCAAUUAUCUGGUUGCAGCCUUAUCCCCAAAAUAUGUAUGGAUCAUAUUGGUACUUAGCUUGCAGCUCAUUUGUCAAGUGGUUCAAAUAUAGUGUUGCUGUUGCUAUUGGAAGGUUUCAAUGAUGUCUUUCUCGUAACUUGAUACAUCUUUUAUUCCAUGAAAGACACCUAACCCAUUCAUAACUCAAAGCUGAGAACCUCCAGUCUCACUAGUUUGGUAUGUUUACCUUUUCUUGUUUAUGUUUUUCUGGUGUCUUCAUUUAGUUCUGUCAAUCUCUAUUCAAAGGUUGUAUGUGAAUCCUGAUAUUUCCAUAGACCUGUGAUAUUCAAAGGAUCUAGCUAGAGCCGUGGAAAAUUAAAUUUUAUUUGUAAAGGAUGUGUUUCCUGAACUACACAAACUAUGAGUGAACAACCUUGAAAGUUUAUUUUCUGAACAAA